rnacentral:rRNA from 1 species
GGCGGACGGGUGAGUAACGCGUAGGAAUCUGCCUAGUAGUGGGGGACAACAUGUGGAAACGCAUGCUAAUACCGCAUACGCCCUACGGGGGAAAGGAGGGGAUCUUAGGACCUUUCGCUAUUAGAUGAGCCUGCGUGAGAUUAGCUAGUUGGUGAGGUAAAGGCUCACCAAGGCGACGAUCUCUAGCUGGUCUGAGAGGAUGAUCAGCCACACUGGGACUGAGACACGGCCCAGACUCCUACGGGAGGCAGCAGUGGGGAAUAUUGGACAAUGGGCGCAAGCCUGAUCCAGCCAUGCCGCGUGUGUGAAGAAGGCCUUAGGGUUGUAAAGCACUUUCAGGAGUGAGGAAGGGUGUACGGUUAAUACCCGUAUAUUUUGACGUUAGCUCCAGAAGAAGCACCGGCUAACUCUGUGCCAGCAGCCGCGGUAAUACAGAGGGUGCAAGCGUUAAUCGGAAUUACUGGGCGUAAAGCGCGC